GAUGAACGCUGGCGGCGUGCUUAACACAUGCAAGUCGAACGGUGGAGCCCAGCUUGCUGGGUGGAUCAGUGGCGAACGGGUGAGUAACACGUGAGCAACCUGCCCCUGACUCUGGGAUAAGCGCUGGAAACGGCGUCUAAUACUGGAUACGAGAAGCGACCGCAUGGUCAGCUUCUGGAAAGAUUUUUUUGGUUGGGGAU
rnacentral:rRNA from 1 species